rnacentral:rRNA from 1 species
UCGAGCGCAUCCUUCGGGAUGAGCGGCGGACGGGUGAGUAACGCGUGGGAAUGUGCCCUUCUCUAAGGAAUAGCCUCUGGAAACGGAGAGUAAUACCUUAUACGCCCUUUUGGGGAAAGAUUUAUCGGAGAAGGAUUAGCCCGCGUUAGAUUAGGUAGUUGGUGGGGUAAUGGCCUACCAAGCCUACGAUCUAUAGCUGGUUUGAGAGGAUGAUCAGCCACACUGGGACUGAGACACGGCCCAGACUCCUACGGGAGGCAGCAGUAGGGAAUCUUAGACAAUGGGGGCAACCCUGAUCUAGCCAUGCCGCGUGUGUGAUGAAGGCCCUAGGGUCGUAAAGCACUUUCGCCAGAGAUGAUAAUGACAGUAUCUGGUAAAGAAACCCCGGCUAACUCCGUGCCAGCAGCCGCGGUAAUACGGAGGGGGUUAGCGUUGUUCGGAAUUACUGGGCGUAAAGCGCACGUAGGCGGAUUAGUAAGUUAGAGGUGAAAUCCCAGGGCUCAACCCUGGAACUGCCUUUAAUACUGCUAGUCUUGAGUUCGAGAGAGGUAAGUGGAAUUCCGAGUGUAGAGGUGAAAUUCGUAGAUAUUCGGAGGAACACCAGUGGCGAAGGCGGCUUACUGGCUCGAUACUGACGCUGAGGUGCGAAAGUGUGGGGAGCAAACAGGAUUAGAU